rnacentral:rRNA from 1 species
AUUGAACGCUGGCGGCAGGCCUAACACAUGCAAGUCGAGCGGAUGAAGGGAGCUUGCUCCUGGAUUCAGCGGCGGACGGGUGAGUAAUGCCUAGGAAUCUGCCUGGUAGUGGGGGAUAACGUCCGGAAACGGGCGCUAAUACCGCAUACGUCCUGAGGAAGAAAGUGGGGGAUCUUCGGACCUCCCGCUAUCAGAUGAGCCUAGGUCGGAUUAGCUAGUUGGUGGGGUAAAGGCCUACCAAGGCGACGAUCCGUAACUGGUCUGAGAGGAUGAUCAGUCACACUGGAACUGAGACACGGUCCAGACUCCUACGGGAGGCAGCAGUGGGGAAUAUUGGACAAUGGGCGAAAGCCUGAUCCAGCCAUGCCGCGUGUGUGAAGAAGGUCUUCGGAUUGUAAAGCACUUUAAGUUGGGAGGAAGGGCAGUAAGUUAAUACCUUGCUGUUUUGACGUUACCAACAGAAUAAGCACCGGCUAACUUCGUG